UACAGAGGGUGCGAGCGUUGUUCGGAAUUAUUGGGCGUAAAGGGCGCGUAGGCGGUGCGGUAAGUCACCUGUGAAAUCUCCUGGCUCAACUGGGAGCUUGCAGGCGAAAACUGCCGUGCUGGAGUGUGGGAGAGGUGCGUGGAAUUCCUGGUGUAGCGGUGAAAUGCGUAGAUAUCAGGAGGAACACCUGUGGCGAAAGCGGCGCACUGGACCACAACUGACGCUGAGGCGCGAAAAGCUAGGGGGGAGCAAAACAGG
rnacentral:rRNA from 1 species